AUUGAACGCUGGCGGCAGGCUUAACACAUGCAAGUCGAGCGGGGGAAGGUAGCUUGCUACCGGACCUAGCGGCGGACGGGUGAGUAAUGCUUAGGAAUCUGCCUAUUAGUGGGGGACAACAUCUCGAAAGGGAUGCUAAUACCGCAUACGACCUACGGGAGAAAGCAGGGGAUCUUCGGACCUUGCGCUAAUAGAUGAGCCUAAGUCGGAUUAGCUAGUUGGUGGGGUAAAGGCCUACCAAGGCGACGAUCUGUAGCGGGUCUGAGAGGAUGAUCCGCCACACUGGGCCUGAGACACGGCCCAGACUCCUGCGGGAGGCAGCAGUGGGGAAUAUUGGACAAUGGGGGGAACCCUGAUCCAGCCAUGCCGCGUGUGUGAAGAAGGCCUUAUGGUUGUAAAGCACUUUAAGCGAGGAGGAGGCUACUGAGACUAAUACUCUUGGAUAGUGGACGUUACUCGCAGAAUAAGCACCGGCUAACUCUGUGCCAGCCGCCGCAGUAA
rnacentral:rRNA from 1 species